UUAUAAAAGUUUUAUGAAUUCAAAUUAGUUAUGACAAAUAUAAGAACCAUAUUAUAAAAUAUAAAGAGUUUUGAAGUUGAGUUUGAAGUUUUGCUUUUGGAGAAAAACACCUUUAAACUUCAAAUAUAGAAUUUUGGAAACUUCAAAAUAGAGUUCCUUUUUGAAGAUGCUCUUAGAUAUGGCUCUACUACAUAUGUGUGUUGUUAUUGGACAAAAAUCUCAUAUGGACCAAAUGGCCAAAAAAUAAUCUCCCACCACCUAAAUUAUUCUAUGUGGACCAAAUAUGUGUAAAUGUCGUUUUUGCCAUUAAUGAUGGGUCAAUAUGAACUCUUCGAUCAAAUCAUUUCUGUUUUAAUGAGAGCCAUUGGAUCAUGAGAGGAAAGAAGGGAUGAAAUAUUACAAGAUUGCCAUUAAUGAAACUUAAUCAUGAGCCGUCAGAUCUUCUCAUCAUAUUUUAAUUUUGGCCAUCGAUUUCGCUCAUCUCUCCUUCACUCUCAUUCUAUUUCCUUAUCUCAACCACGCACAGCCACACAAGCUUCUUUAUUUCAUUCGCAUUCGACUGGGUACAACUAGUAUAACUCUUACAACUAAACAUGUUAAAAAAUUGAAUUACUAGUAUAACUAGUAUAUAAAUGUUAUAAGUUAUGUAUUAUAUGUAGUUACUAUAAUUAACACGACUAAAAUCAUGCUUUACAUAUGAAAUAAACAAGAAAAUAUCAUAACUGGUAUAUGAAGACAAAAAUUCAUCUAUUUUAUUUGAGAUUUUUCAUAUUUUUGUUAAAUUAUUACAUUAUAUAUUUUUUACUUUUAAGGUUUGUUAACUAUAUUAGCAAUAUUAUUAUGAUAAACAAACAUCAAACAUAUUUUUACAAAGUUAUGAUGUGAAAAUAUUGGUAAAAUCCUAAAACUAGACAUAUAAACAAUUGAUAUAUAUUUUUAUUAUAUAUUAGACGAGUAUUACUUGUACAACUAGUACAACUUUGACAUUUCAGAAAUUAAUAAAACUAAUUUGGUACUCCAUAUGAGAAAACAAUCAAAUAUCCCAAUUAGUAUGUACUCAAAAAGUUUCUCUUCGUUUAUUUGUAGCUUUGGAAUUAUUUAUUUGAAAAUUACUGCACAAUUCCAUAAUAUACAUGAUCUACCAUAUACUUUUAAGGUUUGUUAACUUGUUUGUCCACAUAAUUUUUGGAAAACAUACAUGAAAUAUAUUUUUACAAAAUUGUUUAUUUCAUUGUAACCGGGUAAAGACAUGUAAACAUAAAUAAGUGGUACAACUGAAGUAACUGUAUUUAUUAUGUGGUACAACUAAUAUUUUUCGAUUUCACAGCUAAUGUACAACUAUGCACAAACAGGUACAACUUAAAAACUAGUACACCUAUGUUAUAGCCGGUAUAACUAGCAAACUGGUACAACUACUUGUUAUUUUAUUUAGUAUUGUUUUAAAUGUGCAUCACGCUUUAAAUGUGUAUCAUGUUUUAAGCAUUGUGGUUUUACACUAAUGUCGAGUAUUGACUAAAAUACCUAUAAAUUUAAGCUAAAAAAAUCAUAAGAAAGAGGUUCUUCGGGUUAAUUUGGUGAUUUAUAGGGAUCACUAGCGGGCUGAGAUGGCGCAUCCGUUGACGGUUUCGGGAAAAUACCACCUUGAGGGUCCGGUUGAGAUGCUGUUUCUCUUUCGCAGUUCCAAGCUCGCUUGGUUGGAUUUGACACGGACACACCCUUCUUCUUCUUUUUUGUUCGUCGCCGGUGAGUUGCUCUUAGUCGUAGUCGACGCUCUCACCUUCUUCUUUCUGGUGACUCGCAUUAUAGAGCCAUCGUUGAAGAAUUUUCUGGCUCCACAUCUAGUUUUUUGGUCUCGAGAGAAAAAGAUGAAGAUGAUUUUUCCCGAAAAAUAGUACAACUAGUAUAACUAGUAUAACUUGUAAACAUAUCAACACCCAAAUCAAAUAUUAUUAAAAAUAUAUUAUUCAUAUAUUUGACAUAUGCAACCGGAGGAGAUUAGACCAAUAUGUCUUAUUAGUUCUACAUCAUCUUCUUCUAUAGCAUUUUCAUAUGCUGAUACAAUAAAUAAAAGUAACUAUAAUGCUAUUUCAUAAUUUCUCAAAGCAAUGUCAUCCUUUUUUUGGUGAUAAUAAACAUGGUGAUGACGCAUAAGAAAAUCACUUAUCAAAUAAUGUCUAGGUUAUACUUAAUAUAUUUAUACUAGUUAUGUACUCAUUUUAGUUGUACUAGUUGUACUAAUUAGAGUUGCACUAGUUGUACUAGUUGGAGUUGUACUAGUUGUACUAGUAAUACUCUGCGUUCUUCUUUAUCUUGAAUCUCGUAUGUAAAAGAUGAAAUUUGAUUUUGGAUAAUAUAUAAUUGGCUAAAUCUUUCUAUGGAUUGAUCGAUUUGAGAUAAGAAAGAGAAAAUUAGUGGAUGUUUGAAGAAAUUUUUUGAUUUUGUUUUAUGGUGAAAAAACUAAUAAUGGAGAAGAAAAGGGGAAGAAGAAGAAGAGUUGUGUUGAAUUUCAUGUCUGAAACCGGGUCGGAUUCUGGGUAUGUUUAGGUCCUUAGGUUGUUUAGUUAUUUUAGUUAGAUUUUUAUUUAAAUUUAAAUGUCAAAAAAAAAGGAUGGGUCUAAUUCAGAUUUUUUGGAACCCAAUUGGUCCAUACUAGCAUUUGUUCCGUUGUUAUUAAAUGUAAAGAGACUUUCUAUCAUUAUUAGAUUAUCUCCGUAAGUGGACUUAAACUUGAGAUACAUAAAUUUGUGGAAUUAGACCAAAAGAAGAGGGGGAACAAAAUCCAUAAACAGAAAAAAAAUCAGAGAAAACAACGUACCAUUGCAGAUAAAUCUUGUUUUCAUCAAUAAUCUCCAGUGUAUGUAUAACAAAACAGAUAAAUUUCAAUCAAAAACGUCUAAAAAAUCCUAUAAUUACAGUACCAGUUCCUAAUACCAAAAGUAGGAAUUAAACAUACGAAAGGUCAGUUGUUUAAUGUUGAGUUUUGUAUCACCAUUAAACAUAGCGAUAAUGAUUACGCUGAGACACCACCAUUCAAGAAUUGUUAGCGGAGAUCUUAACGCUCUUCAUUGACUCACAUCGUGCGUUUCUCUCUCUAUUUUCAUUGAAUAUUUAUUGAGAUAUCAAUAAGUGAAAGAGAUCCAGAGAGCCGGAAAAUCUAGGAACUUGGGUAUAAGAAAGCUAAACAGAAAAGCCCCAAUAGAAGAGAGAACGGUAGCCGUUAAUUCGGCAAUAGAUGCUUCAAAUUCUUUUUAUCUCAAACGUUUUCUCCGGCUCUUCUUUAAUUUUUCAGCGGGACUCACAAAAUGCUUGAUGACAUGGAUAGCUUUAGAAGAGAGAAAAGUGUACUAUUAUAAUAUAGAUUCAUUUUGUAGGGGAACAUUGUGUCCACUCCACCAACUUCAGGAACCAUUUUACCAGGAACCACAAGGAAAAGUGUUGUAAUUUUGCUCAAGGCCUUGACCUCUCCACUAACUUAACUCACGGGCAACCUCUCUGUUUUUGUACUUGUGUUACAAUGUCAUAACACAAGAUACUCACUCUCUUUACUCUCUCACUCACGUUUGUUGUUGUUAUAGAGAGAGAAGAAAGGAUACUUUAGUUGUCUACAUUUCUACUCUUUCUAACUCUUUUUCUUUUUGAAUUGGAUGCAUUCUUACAACACCACACACAUAUUUAUAGUAGUUUUCUCUAACUACUACAUACACAUAUUUAGACUUUUAGCCUAACCAUUCUCACUUGUCUAUACCUAGACUAAGUUUACAACAAAAGUCUAAACACUCCAACAACUUCUUUGACUUCUCCUUUGAAUUUGUUGGCUCUUGUCUCUUUCACACUUUUCUUUUCUUCUUUUCUUUUUGUUUCUUUUUCUUGUUUAAUCAAAUGAUUCAAUUCCAACAAAAAGCAUAAGCGAGCUAGCUCGUGAUAUCGGCUACCAGGUUCCAAACAUAUUAUAAAACUUUCGUAUAGACAUUCUUUUAUGAAAUCAAGAUUGUGACUCAGAAAAUGUUUAAACAUGUUCAAGAACGUGAUGUUUCAGUGGAUGAGUUAUUAGAGGCAGAAGAAGUUUUCUGUACUGGAACUGCAGUGGUCGUUAAAGCUGCUGAAACCGUGACCUUCCAUGACAGGAAGACAGGAGAAGAGGCGUUGUCUACAGAAGCUUCACUGGAUGUUGACGAGUAUUCAGACAGGUCUUGUUGAAGAUACAAAAGGUUGGAUGGUUGAUCUCGAUGGUUGUCAAGGUUGAGAAGAAGAAGAAGAUCUGGAUAAGCUGAUGCUAAUGAUCUUCAUCUUUUACUGAACGGUGUAUCUUUCUCUUUUAGAGUGUUUUCUUUUGUUUUCUAUUGUGAGACUUGUAAUGAAGACCUCUAAUGCACUACUCAGUGUUACAGUUUCCAGGUCCUAUACGGCACCGUUUCGAUUAGGGUCGUCGCCGUUGAAUAAAAAGUGUUGGGAAGGAAAAGACUUAAAGGCUAUAAAACCUCAUUGCAGUU